rfam:Ictidomys tridecemlineatus contig057424, whole genome shotgun sequence.
GAGGGUAUAGCUUAGUGGUAGAAUGCUUGCCUAGCAUGCAUGAGGCUCUGGGUUCACUCCCCAGUACUUCA